AGCGAUUCUCUUGCCUCAGCCUCCUGGGUAGCUGGGACUACAGGCAUGUGCCACCAUGCCCAGCUAAUUUUUGCAUUUCUAGCAGAGAUGGGGUUUCACCAUGUUGGCCAGGCUGGUCUUGAACUCCUCACCUCAAGUGAUCCACCCGCCUCGGCCUCCCAAAGUGCUGGGAUUACAGGCAUGAGCCACUGCUCCUGACCUCAACUUUUAAUUUUUAUCUAUCGAUCUAGUCUAUUAUUACCCGCUACUUACCUACCCAUCCAUCCAUUCAUCCAUCCAUCCAUCUGCCCAUCCUUUUUUUUUGUUUAUUAGCUCUGGUCUUUGUUAUAUUUGUUGAUAGGCCCAAGUAAAUUAGUAUGUGUAAAACUCACUUAAAACAGUGCUUAGCACAUGGUAAGCAUAAUAUGUGAUAGCCCUUAUGAUCUAGUAACUCACCAGUAUCUUGUGUGUAUUAGAACAAUGUGUCUCUGUAAUAUUUUAAUUAUAUCUCUAUAAGAGCAUACAUAAAUGACAAUAUAUAAAUCUCAAUAACAGAAUGUUUCUAACCC
rnacentral:lncRNA from 1 species